rnacentral:rRNA from 1 species
GGCGGCAGGCCUAACACAUGCAAGUCGAGCGGUAGCACAAGAGAGCUUGCUCUCUGGGUGACGAGCGGCGGACGGGUGAGUAAUGUCUGGGAAACUGCCUGAUGGAGGGGGAUAACUACUGGAAACGGUAGCUAAUACCGCAUGACGUCUUCGGACCAAAGUGGGGGACCUUCGGGCCUCACGCCAUCAGAUGUGCCCAGAUGGGAUUAGCUAGUAGGUGGGGUAAUGGCUCACCUAGGCGACGAUCUCUAGCUGGUCUGAGAGGAUGACCAGCCACACUGGAACUGAGACACGGUCCAGACUCCUACGGGAGGCAGCAGUGGGGAAUAUUGCACAAUGGGCGCAAGCCUGAUGCAGCCAUGCCGCGUGUAUGAAGAAGGCCUUCGGGUUGUAAAGUACUUUCAGCGAGGAGGAAGGCAUUGUGGUUAAUAACCACAGUGAUUGACGUUACUCGCAGAAGAAGCACCGGCUAACUCCGUGCCAGCAGCCGCGGUAAUACGGAGG